CGGUGGAGUAUGUGGUUUAAUUCGAUGCAACGCGAAGAACCUUACCUGGUCUUGACAUCCCGGAGACCCUUAGGAAACUAGGGGUGCUUCCAUCUGGAAGAAUCUGGAGACAGGUGCUGCAUGGCUGUCGUCAGCUCGUGUCGUGAGAUGUGGGUUAAGUCCCGCAACGAGCGCAACCCUUGCCUUUAGUUGCCAGCAGUUCGGCUGGGCACUCUAAAGGGACUGCCGGUGUUAAACCGGAGGAAGGUGGGGAUGACGUCAAGUCCUCAUGGCCUUUAUGACCAGGGCUACACACGUACUACAAUGGCCGAUACAAAGGGCAGCGACACUGCGAGGUGAAGCCAAUCCCGUAAAAUCGGUCUCAGUCCGGAUUGGAGUCUGCAACUCGACUCCAUGAAGUUGGAAUCGCUAGUAAUCGUGGAUCAGCAUGCCACGGUGAAUACGUUCCCGGGCCUU
rnacentral:rRNA from 1 species